rnacentral:rRNA from 1 species
UACAGAGGGUGCGAGCGUUAAUCGGAAUUACUGGGCGUAAAGCGUGCGUAGACGGUCAUGUAAGUCGGGUGUGAAAGCCCCGGGCUCAACCUGGGAAAUGCAUUCGAGACUGCAUGGCUAGGAUGCGGAAGAGGGAAGCGGAAUUUCCGGUGUAGCGGUGAAAUGCGUAGAUAUCCGGAGGAACACCGGUGGCGAAGGCGGCUUCCUGGACCGACACUGACGCUGAGGCGCGAAAGCCAGGGGAGCAAACGGG